GGGCGCUUAGCUCAGUUGGUAGAGCAGUGGACUUUUAAUCCGCGUGUCGGGGGUUCGAUCCCCCCAGCGCCUAC
rnacentral:tRNA from 6 species